AGAGAGAGAGAGAGAGAGAGAUAUGGAUAACUUGCAGUAGCAUGCAUGCAGGCUCCUUACAAUGUUCCCUGGCCUUGUAUAUCCUUCACGUUGCCGUUGAGUGUUAACCCAAAUUGGGUGUGAGGGAGAUAUGCCCAAUUUUUGGCAGCAGUGCUAAAUGCUUCUCUGUGGCUAAUAUCAGGAUUGCUUGCCUUUAUCCUUUGGAUCUCCUCCUUGAUAAAUCUAUUGUAGGCAGAAGGAACACGUUGUCUUUUCUCCGGUACGCGAAUAGGAGGGGAUCUAGGUUGAUCAUGAUCAGUAGGAAUGGGAGAAAAUCUGUGAAAUGAAUUUGUAGAAGAGGAUGAUGAUCCAUAACCUCUACUCAUUCCAUCUUCAAUACUUGACUCAUUUUGUCUCUGUAAAUCUUGAAUGGGGAGAGACUGAAGGGAAGGUGCAAUAUUAACAGAAAGCAAAUUUGCGCAGUGUCCACACCUUACUGUCACUAUUGUCAUCAUACUGUUGCAUGGAACGCUAACCGCAAGAAUUGUGCUGCAGAAGUUGCAAUGAACAUAGCAAACACGUUCCGAGGAAGAGGAGGAAUAUGUCAUGUCAAGUGACAUUUCUUAUAAGCUUUUUAGGUCAGAAAAUACGGAUCGAAGAAUUAGAAGUAAAAGUAUGAGUCAAAAUCAAGAAAUAUGUGUAAUGUUCAUCAUGUUAUGUAGCUAGGAAGAGAGUUGAAAAGACCUAGCUUACAAAAGAUGGGGGAAAAAGGGGGAAGAAAAGGGGGAGAUGAUAAAUAAGGUAUAAGUUUUUGAGAGAUGAAUGAAUGAAAGAGUACAAAAUAAACACAUAUUAGAGAUGAAGAGAUUGAUGGGAUUGGAAUGGUUUGGUCUGGUCGGGGUGGGGUGGGGUAGGGAUGGG
rnacentral:misc_RNA from 1 species